rnacentral:tRNA from 1 species
GCCGGGAUGGCGAAAUUGGCAGACGCAAGGGACUUAAAAUCCCUGGGUCCUCCGGGACCGUGCCGGUUCGAGUCCGGCUCCCGGCA